CCCUCUCUUCUCUUUGGGACAUCCCACACGUCUCCCUUAUUGGGGCAUCCCAUCUUUCUCAUGCCCAAGCUGUUGGGCAUCCCUCCUUUGCUGGUUUUCAGAGCUUGGUAGCUGCAUAAAGCAAGGAAGAAAGGUAAGAGAAGAAGAAGAUCAAGGAAAGAGAUCAAGUGUUGAUCGCGAUCCAGACUUCGUUCAGAUUCAGGAGGUUGAAU
rnacentral:lncRNA from 1 species